rnacentral:rRNA from 1 species
CACGUAGGGGGCGAGCGUUGUCCGGAUUCAUUGGGCGUAAAGAGCGUGUAGGCGGCCAGGUAGGUCAGCUGUGAAAACUCGAGGCUCAACCUCGAGACGUCGGUUGAAACCACCUGGCUAGAGUCCGGAAGAGGAGAGUGGAAUUCCUGGUGUAGCGGUGAAAUGCGCAGAUAUCAGGAAGAACACCCGUGGCGAAGGCGGCUCUCUGGGACGGUACUGACGCUGAGACGCGAAAGCGUGGGGAGCGAACAGG